UACGGAGGGGGCUAGCGUUGUUCGGAAUUACUGGGCGUAAAGCGCACGUAGGCGGGUAUCCAAGUUGGGGGUGAAAUCCCGGGGGCUCAACCCCGGAACUGCCUCCAAAAACUGGGUACCUAGAGUCCGAGAGAGGUGAGUGGAAUUCCCAGUGUAGAGGUGAAAUUCGUAGAUAUUGGGAAAGAACACCAGUGGCGAAAGGCGGCUCACUGGCUCGGUACUGACGCUGAGGUGCGACAGCGUGGGGAGCAAACAGG
rnacentral:rRNA from 1 species